CCGGCGACCGGCGCACGGUGAGUAACACGUAUGGAACCUGCCCGCAGCAGGGGGAGUAAGCGGAAGAAAUUCCGUCUAAUACCGCGUAACAACGUUGGGAGGCAUCUCCCGAUGUUUAAAGAUUUAUCGGCUGCGGAUGGCCAUGCGGCGCAUUAGCUAGUCGGCGGGGUAACGGCCCACCGAGGCGACGAUGCGUAGGGGUUCUGAGAGGAAGGUCCCCCACACUGGUACUGAGACACGGACCAGACUCCUACGGGAGGCAGCAG
rnacentral:rRNA from 1 species